GUGUGGGACAGAAAGUCAUCUCUCUGCUCACCUGAGACAAAUGCGUAUCUGAUUGCUUCCUCUGCUGAUGUAAAAUGCAGAUUCACUGAGCCAGACUAAACUGUAUCCAGUGAAAGGCUGAUCAAAGACUCGAAAGAAGACAACCUUUUGUCUCUUAUCUACCUAUGACCUGGAAGCCCUCCCGCUUCGAGUUGUCCUCCCUUUCUGGACCAAACCAAUGUACAUCUUACACAUAUUGAUUGAUGUCUCAUGUCUCCCUACAAUGUAUAAAAGCCCGCUGUAUCCUGACCACCUUGGGCAUGUGGUCAUCAGAACCUCCUGAGGCUGUGUUGUGGUGCAUGUAAGGAAAACGACUCCAAAGUGCUGACUUCAGUCCCUGGGACUCCCUCGCUGCAGGAUGAAGCUGGAGGAGGCUGCAGAGGAGGCAGCCUGACGUCAAGCACACAGCUCACCUCGGAGCUCUGCCUGUCCAGAUGGCCUGAUCCUCAUGUCCCCACCUGGCCUGCUGACUCCCUCCUGGCUGAAGGGUGGAAAUGAAUCCUUGUACGGAAUAAGCCUCUCCGGCCCGACCUGGGAAUGAGUAACAGCUUAGCUGGUGACCUUUGCCCUGGGACGACAGCUCUGGACAGCUGCAGGAGGCUUCGUUGGGAUGGGGGUGGCCCAUUGUGGGGUGCCUGGCAGGAGUCUCUGAGCCAUGUCUUUAGAAGGUACGAGUGCAGGACACAGUUCUUUUGUGGUCUGAGAUCUGUGCUUAGGCAGAGAACUGUGUCCAGAGAGUCAGGCUGUAAAGUGGGGAGCCUCCCGUGAGGGCUGCAGCAUUCCCGUGCAGAUCCCUAAUUUCCAAUCUGGACUCUAGAAGACUUUGGUUCUCUUCCUGGCUCUGGCCUCUGCUGGGACCCUGGAGGUGUCUCCUUUCUCCUUCAAGUUUUUCAUCAGCAAUGCCAGGAUUUGGUAAUGACAUGAGUCCCUCCUGGCUCAGAUAGCCCAGCAUCACUGUCACCCUGGGAUCCCUUUGCUGACAUCCCAGUCCCAGACCAGUAACUGCAGCUCAGAGUACCUGAGGCUCCCCAGCUGUUUCCACGGCUUCCCUGUGCCUCAACCCUUAUGACCUUGUUAUUCCCCAGAAAUUCUGCAGCAUGGCAGGCUGGGCUCCCCGCUCCCUGGGGGAGCCUUGUGCUGUGUCACUUCCUCAGACCCCUGCCUGAGCCUGUCCCCUUGUGGGGGACCAGAGUGUAUACCUCACCUGAGCUAGCUUUCUGUUGCUGCUAUACAUAUUACCACAAACUUAGUGGCUUAGAACCCCACACUGUAUUAUCUUACAGUUCUGGAGGGUCAGAAGUUUGACACAAGUCUCACUGGCCUAAAACCAAGGUGCUGGCAGGUCUGACUCCUUCUGAAGGCUCUAGGGGUAUAUUAGUCUAUUCUCAUGCUGCUUAUAAAGACAUACCCGAGACUGGGUAAUUUAUAAAGAAAAAGAGGUUUAAUGGACUCGCAGUUCCAUAUGGCUGGGGAGGCCUCACAAUUAUGGUGGAAGGCAAAGGAAGAGCAAAGGGAUGUCUUACAUGGCAACAGGCAAGAGAACUUGUACAGGGGAACUCCCAUUUAUAAAACCAUCAGAUCUUGUGAGACUUAUUCACUACCAUGAGAACAGCAUGGGAAAGGCCCACCCCCAUGAUUCAAUUACCUCCCACUGGGUCCUUCCCACGACAUGCGGGGAUUAUGGGAGCUACAAUUCAAGAUGAGAUUUGGAUGGGGACAUAGCCAGUCCAUAUCAAGGGGAGAACCCACUUCCUUGCCUUUUCCAACUUCUAGAGGCUGCCUGCAUUCCUUGGCUCAUGGCCCUUUCCUCCAUCUUCAAAGCCAGCUUUGGGGCUCUGUCACCCUUCUUGUAUUGCAUUUCUAACCCACUCUGCCACCUCCUCCACUUCUAAGGACUCAUGGGUUAGGUUGGGCCCAUCUGGAUAAUGCCACAUAAUCUCCUCAUUUCAAAGCCUUAACUUUCUUCACAUCUGCAAGUCCUGUGAUCAUGUAAGGACACCUUUUCAUGGGUUCUAGGGAUUAGGCUGGGGAUAGUUUUGCCGGGAGCAUUCUUCUGCCUACCACCCCACCCAAUCUGAGGCUUGGGGUUUGCGCAGGGCACCAUGAUAGUUUUCCUCUGGGGUCUCAGCUCAGGUGCUAGAAGGGCACCUCCUCUCUGGAACCCUCUGUGAUUGCACCAGGCAGAGGCAACUGCCCUUCCUCUGGCAACCACCACCCCCAGCACACUUGUCAUGCUUGUGUGACAGUGCCUGUGGGUAGGUCUCCCCUGUUAAUUGGGAACAAGUGGGUAGUGUCAGGCCUCUGAGCCCAAGCUAAGCCAUCAUAUCCCCUGUGACCAGCAUGUAUACAUCCAGAUGGCCUGAAGCAACUGAAGAUCUACAAAAGAAGUGAAAAUAGCCUUAACUGAUGACAUUCCACCAUUGUGAUUUGUUUCUGCCCCACCCUAACUGAUCAAUGUACUUUGUAAUCUCCCCCACCCUUAAGAGGGUUCUUUGUAAUUCUCCCCACCCUUGAGAAUGUACUUUGUGAGAGCCACCCUCUGCCCGAAAAACAUUGCUCCUAACUCCACCGCCUAUCCCAAAACCUAUAAGAACUAAUGAUAAUCCCACCACCCUUUGCUGACUCCUUUUUCGGACUCAGCCCCCCCGCACCCAGGUGAAAUAAACAGCCUUGUUGCUCGCAAAAAGCCUGUUUGGUGGUCUCUUCACACAGACAGGUGAGACAGGUAGAGACCUUACCUUCUUCCCCCGGGGUGC
rnacentral:lncRNA from 10 species